UACGGGGGGGGCAAGCGUUGUUCGGAAUUACUGGGCGUAAAGGGCUCGUAGGCGGCCAACUAAGUCGGAUGUGAAAUCCCCAGGCUCAACUUGGGAACUGCAUCCGAUACUGGAUGGCUUGAAUUCGGGAGAGGGAUGCAGAAUUCCAGGUGUAGCGGUGAAAUGCGUAGAUAUCUGGAGGAAUACCGGUGGCGAAGGCGGCAUCCUGGACCGACAUUGACGCUGAGGAGCGAAAAGCUAGGGGAGCAAACGGG
rnacentral:rRNA from 1 species